rnacentral:lncRNA from 1 species
UAAAAUACUAAUAUGUUAUCCACCAGGGAGGAAUGGUCGGACUGCAGACAGUGGGAAACAAAGGAAAAGCAUCCAUAGACUUUGGCUUUGCUCUGCUUUCCCUGGGCUGCUUUGAACCCAAGUGAGCAGUAACCAGACAGUGCAUUCAAUGUCUCCUUACAAUGAGAUGUGUCUUUUAAAAGACACUGGGUAAUGAGGAAGCGUAAACAACUGCUAUCUCUUAGGCCUGUCCAUUUUUUCAUGUAAAGAGGAAAACUGAUAAAUUUAAGUUAAACUAUAUACUAGUAAGGCAAGAUAAAGGGUGCAAGAUAGUAGAGACAUGCAGAUUCUUUUAGGAGUAUUUUUGUUCUUUAAAAAAUAGUGUCUUAUUAAGUCCUCUUAGAGUUCCUUGUCUUUUUUUACCUUUCUUUUGCUGUGAUAAAGCACCAUGGCCAAGACAGUUUGUAGAAGAAAGGGUUUAUUUUUGGCAUAUGCCCCCGGAUCCAGAGGGAAGAGUCCCAUCACAGUGGGGACGCAUUGCAUCAAGCACCAUAGCACGGAGGCAGAAACAGCUGGGAGCUUGCAUCUUGAAAUGCAGGAAACACAGAGAUGGAACUGAAAAUGGAGAGAGUCUUUUGAAACCUCUAAGCUCACCCCCACUGGCAUACUUUCCUCUAGCCACACCAUCCCACCUAAGCCUUGCCAAACAGGAACCCUCAACUGGAGCCAGGGACUUAUGGGGGCAGCUCAUUCAAACUUUUACAUGCAUCUAAUAGCUUAACAAACAGUCAUGGCAGAAGAGAGAAGACAACAUCAUAAUUUCCAAUAUACAAUGUAGUUUCCUCUUGUUUUAAGACAGGAGGACCUGGAGCUGGCCAAGGCCAGGCAUGAUUUUGGAGUCACGAUCCUCCAGUUUCCACCCUGGAAUUACAGGCUUACAUGACUCAACUCUCCCAUUUGGGGCAGUGCUGGGACUCAAAUCCAGAGCCUCUGGUAGAGUAGGCAGAUCUACCCACGGAGAUCCACCCCAGCCAAGUUUCAAGUACAGAACACCCAGCAUGGUCUACUGCAGCACCAAGGUUCCUAAGAGACAGGUUUCAAUACAGGAAGGCAAUAGAGUUAUUUGAACAAAGGAACAAAUGGAAGAUAUAGUCAAAUAAAGAUGGAGAAGAGGGUGCUAAUUCUCUAUAUUACUACAAAGGAAUGGGGUUCUUUUUAUAAAUUAAAAAAGUACAGAAAAGUAAAAGCAAGCCUCUAAACAGAUUUAAUGUUGAAAUUGUCAUAUAUGCUAUAUACAGAUAUAUAGAUACAGUUAUGUAGAUAUAACCAUAAUCUUCUUUUGUUUUUGUUUUUGUUUUUUAAAGAAAUUCUUUUUCUUAUUUUUUAGUGUGCAUGAGUGUUCUGGCUUUAUGCAUGUCUGUGCACCAUGUGCAUGCUUGGUGCCUUCAGAGGCCAGAAGAAGGCAUUGGGUCCCCCUGGAACUAGAGCUGCAGACAGCUGUGAGCCUCCAUAUGGGUACUGGGAAUUCAAUUCAGGUCCCCCAGGAGAACAGCCAAUGCCCUUAACCACUGAGCCACCUCUCCAGCUCUGUGAACAAAAAUUGUACUAACAUUUUCAUCACAUUGCAUUUGUCAGAGUUACAUCAUACUGUGUGUAUCAUGAGAGUAUGUUGUAUAUGAAUAUGAGAACUGAAUUUAAUAGUUCAAUGGAUAGAGACUAAGCCUAAUACAUUUUUGUGAAUUACAUUGUUUUGGUUUUGGUUUUUGAAACAGGGUUUCCCUGUGUAGCCCUGGCUAUCCUGGAACUCACUCUGUAGACCAGGUUGACCUCAAACUCAGAGAUCCAUCUGCCUCUGCCUCCCAAGUGCUGGGAUUAAAGGCGUGCGCCACCACGGCCCAGCUGAAUGACACUGGUCUUACCUUAAGUAUUUUAUAAUGUAGAUUUAUGCCAACUUGUUAACUAGACAGGAGACACAUUUUAGCAGGAUUGGAGGCCAUUAAAGAUGGGCCUCAUCUCCCAUUACCUGGGUAAGACACAAGAAAAUAAUGAUGGAAAUAUAGAUGGAGAGAGGACACAGGUAUUAUGGCUUGGUGGAGGUCUGAGGGAAAGCCAAUGCCUCCAUUACAGGGAGAGAAUCUCAGUUCCCUCUCAGGUCCUGGGUAGAAACAUAAACUUUCAAUCUGUUUUAAAUAUCAUAACAUAAAUGUCCUCUGUCUUCAUGUGACCUCUUAGAGGUCUUCAGCAUCUCAGCAUCAAGUUUGUCCAAUUUUCUUGAGUUCUAACUCAUGACUUUCUAUCCCUCCUUUGGUAACAGGUUCAAAUUCCAAGUGUCUGCUCUACAUUCUGGGUGUUUUCUUUCUGGAGAGCCCUUCCUCCAUCCAGCCCCAUACAGAUCUCUGUUACUGAGACCCACCCCUCCCUUUGGGGGAACUCUAACUCAAAAGGCUCUUUUUAAAUCCCUUUCUUCCCUCAGCAACCCAAAUGUCUAGCCUGUCCCAUUUCUCUGUUCUCAAACUCCAUCAAAAGGACCUUGAGUUUUCUUCUGAUUUUGUUUCCAAAUUCUCCAUACACGAGAUUUAGCAUCCACAAAAGGGAAGCCCAAUUCCUAGACUCCUGGCAACAUGUUAGAUAUUAAAAUAUUUAAUUCUAUACUAUGAUUUAGACAUUAAAAUACCUUAUACUAUAAUAAUACUCACAGCAAAUAUAUUAUUUCUCAGCAGUUAUCACAAUAGUAAAAUUAACUCAUUUUAAUAUUAAUUAUAUACACAUAUUUUAAUAUAUUUACAUAUACGUGUACAUAUAUAUAUAUUACACAUAUAUUAUAUAUUUACAUAUAUAUAUUUAAAAUAGACCACCAGACAGAGUGAUAAUGACAUGAUCCCAGGACUCAAGAGGCAGAGGCAGAGACAGAGCCAGGCAAAUUUCUGUGAGUUUGGGGCCAGCCUGGGGUACAUAGUGAGAUC